AAUCAACGCUGGCGGCGUGCCUAACACAUGCAAGUCGAACGCGAAAAGGGCUUCGGCUCUUAGUAGAGUGGCGAACGGGUGAGUAACACGUGGGUGACCUACCUUCGAAUGGGGGAUAACGUCCCGAAAGGGACGCUAAUACCGCAUAACAUCCUGCUUUUGAACAGGUGGAGAUCAAAGCCGGGGAUCGCAAGACCUGGCGUUUGAAGAGGGGCCCGCGUCUGAUUAGCUAGUUGGUGAGGAACGGCCCACCAAGGCGACGAUCAGUAUCCGGCCUGAGAGGGCGGACGGACACACUGGGACUGAGACACGGCCCAGACUCCUACGGGAGGCAGCAGUGGGGAAUUGUUCGCAAUGGGCGCAAGCCUGACGACGCAACGCCGCGUGGAGGAUGAAGGUCUUCGGAUUGUAAACUCCUGUUGCUCGGGACGAAAAGCUUCGACCUAACACGUCGAAGUCUGACGGUACCGGGUGAGGAAGCCCCGGCUAACUCUGUGCCAGCAGCCGC
rnacentral:rRNA from 1 species